ACUUUCUACAGAUGAUAACUUAGUAUCAAUUCCAAUUCUUAAUUCCUCUAUGUCCAUUGGUGCAUCCACUUUGAUUUCAUCAUCUUCAUUCUGCAAUUCAAUCUUUACCCAACCAUCUGAUUCCUCACUAGUAAAUAUGUGAAAAAAAGGAUGUUUCAAAAAUCGAAAGGGUUCCAAAAAGAUCGCUGCCAAUAAUAUGCUUUAGAGAUGGAGGUCCCCCUCUACCAGAUGCUUUAAACACAUCUCUCAAAUAUUCAGCUAUCUCAGGAAUAAAUGGUCUUGAUACGGAGCAGUGCAGUGCUUUCUUAUGAAGAAAAAUAUCACUAUGAAAUUGACUAAUGAGCUGGUAUUGUUAUAAGUAUAACUCAUAAGUCCUUUUAUUUGUGUGUGAUGUUAUUGUAUGUUAAGCUCAGUUUCUUCUUUCCUUUGUAUCAAAACUAGAUACACAUGACUUUGUAUCAAAGCUAAGCUUGUACUGAAAACUUGUGCAACACAUAUCGUUGAAAGAACCUACGUCAGUAACGAUUUAAAA